rnacentral:lncRNA from 10 species
UUUAUCAUUAAAUAUUCUCUUUGGAUAUUUAAUGACAAAUUUAUUCUCUCUCUGAAACCUCUACGUCAGCUGCUCCUUUGCUAUUAUUUCCUCUGUUAAUCAGGGUAAUUAAUACAAACUGCCAAAACAUGCAUAUGUCAUAAUGCCAGUGACUUUUAACAGCCAAUAGGAUUCUUCUUGCACAGCUUUCCUCCAAUCCGCAUUCAGGAACCCUGGGUGACCGCCCCCCCACCCGCCCCCCAUCUUGCAAUCCUGCCAUCUCAGAAUCCUUCAUUUUCAAUCAAAUAGACAGGAAAAAGCAUAUCUUUUUCCUCCAAAGAUCCACCUAGUCACAUCCUGUGGAAGAAAUGAUGUGGGGAAUUUGUGUUGGAAAGCACUGUUUUCAUGAAAUUCUACAUAUAAGAAUACAGAUUAUAUAUGUAAAAUCUAUGUAU